rfam:Trichobilharzia regenti genome assembly, scaffold: TRE_scaffold0056582
GUAUUGAUGAUGAGUUCCAAAUUAGGACGAAACAGCUGUCCAGUAC